rnacentral:rRNA from 1 species
CCUACGGGUGGCAGCAGUAGGGAAUCUUUCACAAUGGGCGAAAGCCUGAUGGAGCAACGCCGCGUGCAGGAUGAAGGCCUUCGGGUUGUAAACUGCUUUUAUAAGCGAGAAAUAUGAUGGUAACUUAUGAAUAAGGAUCGGCUAACUACGUGCCAGCAGCCGCGGUCAUACGUAGGAUCCGAGCAUUAUCCGGAGUGACUGGGUGUAAAGAGUUGCGUAGGUGGCAUAAUAAGUAGCUAGUGAAAUCUGGUGGCUCAACCAUUCAGACUAUUAGCUAAACUGGUAAGCUCGAGACCGUUAGGGGUAACUGGAAUGUCUAGUGUAGGAGUGAAAUCCGUAGAUAUUAGAAGGAACACCAAUAGCGUAGGCAGGUUGCUGGGACGGUUCUGACACUAAGGCACGAAAGCGUAGGGAGCAAACGGGAUUAGAUACCCCUGUAGUC